rnacentral:lncRNA from 1 species
UUUAUCGAUUAGUCCUUAAAACUAUUCACGACCAAAUGAUAGGCUGUUAAUAAAGACAACAGCUUCUAUCGAGCAUAGGUCGCUGUAGGCCAUAUGGGUUGGUUGUCCUCUUAACCAAGAAGUGUGGAGACACUGGUAUGGCAUACAAGUGAGAUGUAAGGAUACAUCAUCAUUGAACGUGACCAACUCCAGAGCAUUCUACUAUCGAGAAUGUCUCUGAUGGGAUAUAGGUAUAAGUGUCCCUUAGACCUGAGAUCACCUCAGUGACUUGCAAGCAACUCACUGUGAUUUGGUAUUGGACUAACUAAAUUUUUAAUUCAGUGAU